AUGCACGGGCGUUCUGAUAGUAAACAAGCAAGAUCGUUCGAGGCACUUUUUUCCUCUUCGGUGAAACUCUCACCAGAUUCAUCCGUUUCAAGCCAGGCCCUCCAAACAUUGAUCAGACGGUCAGGAGAAGCUCCAACAGUUCUUACAGCCAGUCGCUGGAGGAGCCCAUCACUCUCUUACCAAUCUGGGCCAUCGCCUUCAAGCCCAUUUUGCCGGCGACUAUGCGCGUGGAGAUCCCGUCCUUCUCCACCGCCGCCGCCGCCGCCGUCGUCCAUCCCCGGCGACCCACUCGCCACCUCGCUUAUGUUACGGUCUCUCCCCAUUCUACUCCUCCACUCCGCGCUCUCCUCCAAGCCGACCCCAUCUAGGCUCCUCUCUUCCGCCGCCGCCGCCGCGGCCACCACCGGCUCGGUUGCGCGGGGCGGCGGGGCGCAUGGCAGCGUAUCUGCCGUACUGGCCAUUGUGGGACCCAUCGAGCUCCUCUUGCCGUCCUCCGAGGCGCGCCUCUACGUGCGCCUCCUGCGCCGCUGCGCGCUCGACGCGCUCGCCGCCGGCGCCGGCGCCGUCCACGGGCACGUCCUCAAGCGCGGCUUCGCCCCCGACACGCUCGUCUCCAACGUCCUGAUGGACACCUACGCCAAGGGUGGCUCCCUGGUUGCCUGCCGCCAUCUGUUCGACGAAAUGCCUCACAGGGACGUGGCGUCCUGGUGCACCGUCAUUUCCGCACACGCCAGCCGGGGCCUCUGGGUUGAUGCCAUCGGGGUGUUCAAGGGGCUGUUGUCCUCCGAGGUGAAGCCAAACCGGUUUGUCAUCUCGGCGACGCUGAAUGCGUGUGCCAGGUCUGGUGUCAUGGAGCUGGGGCUCAUGGUACAUGGAUUGGUGAUCAAGUCUGGCUUGGGUGUUGAUAGGUUUGUGGAGGUUGGAUUUGUGGAUAUGUAUGCGAAAUGUGGCAAUGUAGGCUGCUCUUUUAGGAUCUUCAGUGAAAUUCCGGUGAAGAGCUCAGUUGCUUGGAAUGCAAUGAUUUCAGGUUUUAUUGAGAAUGACUGUGUUGUGGAGGCUGCUAAGCUUUGCAGGGAUAUGCAUAGAGUUGGCAUUGCAAUGGAUGUGGUAACAUUGAGGUUAGCUGCUGGCGUCGCUGCUUUUCUUGGAAUGUUUGAGCUUUGUAGGAAUGUUCACGUUUAUGCACUGAAAGUGGGGUUGGGAAGAGAUUGUUAUGUUGUGUCUGAGCUGGUCAAGUCAGCCGGGAGGGUAGGUAAUACUCAGUACAUUGGACAGCUUGUUGCUGCAGCUAGAAGGCGUGAUGCAUCUUUGUAUUCUUUAGCUAUAUCAGGCUAUCACUCAAAUGGUUGUCAGGAUGAAGCAGUGAAGCUAGUCGAGCAUCUUCUUUCCUCGGGCCACAGUUUAAGGGAAGGGGAUCUGGUCACCGUUCUGGAUAUCUGUCAUAUCAAAGAGGAAGUUCAGCAAGUACAUGCUUAUACAUUGAAAUCUGGAAGCUUCUCUUAUAUUAAUGUAUGUAAUGCUCUUAUAUCGGUAUACUCUGAAAUUGGAUCGCUGAUGCACGCUGAAGCAAUCUUCAGAACUUCAGAGUCACGAGAUAUUGUAUCAUGGGCUGCAGUCAUGGCAGGCUGUGUCAAGAACCUCCAAUUUGAAAAAGCAUUUGGUUAUUUUAGAGGGUUAAGAAAGUCUGGAGCACUAUUAGAUCAGCACUGUGUUGCUACUAUCAUAAAUUCAUGCACAGGACUUGAAGACAUGGAUAAGGGAGAGCAGAUUCAUGCUCUGGCUCUUAAAGUUGGGAUAUUGAUUGCUGACUUUGUUAGUGCAUCCCUAGUGAACAUGUACGCAAAAUGCCAUCACAUUGAGUGUGCUGCUGAGUUAUUUUCCCACACACAGUUUCCAAGAAAUCUAGUUUUAACUAAUGCGAUGCUCUCAGGGUAUUGCUGGAAUUUCCUGCCAGAGAAAGCUCUUCUGCUCUUCUGCAAUGAAUAUCGUACUGGUCUGCGUCCUGAUCAUUUCACUUGCUCAACUGUUCUCAGUGCAUGUGCUGAUAUAGGAGCAAAGGAGGCUGGUGAACAGGUUCAUGCCUAUCUUGUAAAGAUUGGUUCUGAAUACAUGGAUGCCAUUGUUGGAAAUGCUAUCAUAGACCUUUAUGUCAAGUGCGGAUGCAUUGCCAGUGCUUGUAGUUUUUUCCAUAGCAUGAGAAGUUGGAGCAUAAAUUCAUAUGCAAUGCUAAUGUUGGGUUAUAUUCAGAACAGAUGUAGCGAUGAAGCUCUUCAUCUUUUCUCCAAAAUGCAGCACAGUGGAUUGCGUGCCAACCGUGUUACCUUUGCAAGAAUUUUGCGUGGAUGUGCUGACCUAUGUGCUAUUGAUUUAGGGAGACAAGUGCAUGCUUCUAUUAUAAAGAUGGGUUUGAUCUCUGAUGUAUAUGUCGCAAAUGCACUUGUAGGAAUGUAUAAAAGAUCUGACCGUUUGAUGGAACCAAGAAGAGACUCUCAAGAAAUUUUGGCAGGAAAUGGUCCAGAACAGAAUACUGAAGAUAACUGCUAUUCAGAACAAAGGGAUGGAAGUAGCGACCUUGAAGAAAUUGGGCUGUUUACGUUGGAAGAAGAGAAAAAUCAGGAAACUUAUGCUGAUGUGCGGAAUAUUUCUAUUGGUGCUGCUUCUCAGUACUAUGGAACUCCACUUCCUAUCCAUGUGGUUGGAGAGGAACUUAGGAUGAACACUAUCAUGUGGAGUGGAAGAAAUGAGAAGGGCAGUGAAAGCAAUGUUUUUCUAGAUACACGAUAUCAGGGAAAGAGAGGUGGAUCUCACAAACUGUUUAACUUGUUACACAUGGACAGCACUGGAUCUAACCAAUUCGUCCUAGUUAUCUUCAUUGACAAUAGCCUUAAGAUGAAGGAUACAAGAUUUGUUAAUACCGAGUUAAUAAGAUCUGGUGUUGCACCAGCACUCGGCAUUCCUCCU
rnacentral:rRNA from 1 species